GGCCAAAUUAUUUAGGAGUCAUGAUCAACAAUUACUACCCUAAUUUCCUUUACACCUUAAAAUAACAGGGUAUCUAAUCCUGGUCUAUAAUCAAAGCUU